UAGGGAAUCUUCCGCAAUGGACGCAAGUCUGACGGAGCAACGCCGCGUGAGUGAAGAAGGAUUUCGGUUCGUAAAACUCUGUUGUUAGAGAAGAACAGCGCAUAGAGUAACUGUUAUGCGUGUGACGGUAUCUAACCAGAAAGCCACGGCUAACUACGUGCCAGCAGCCGCGGUAAUACGUAGGUGGCAAGCGUUGUCCGGAUUUAUUGGGCGUAAAGCGAGCGCAGGCGGUCAAUUAAGUCUGAUGUGAAAGCCCCCGGCUCAACCGGGGAGGGUCAUUGGAAACUGGUUGACUUGAGUGCAGAAGAGGAGAGUGGAAUUCCAUGUGUAGCGGUGAAAUGCGUAGAUAUAUGGAGGAACACCAGUGGCGAAGGCGACUCUCUGGUCUGCAACUGACGCUGAGGUUCGAAAGCGUGGGUAGCAAACAGG
rnacentral:rRNA from 1 species